GCCAGCGGCUAUAUCAUCCCGCAACUCACAACUAGCAACCCAUAGAAGCUAAGCAGGUUUGAGCCUGACCAGUACCUGGAUGGCAGACUUCCUGGGAAAGCUAAAGAUUGCUGCUGGAA
rnacentral:rRNA from 1 species